ACAUCCUAAUGGUGGUGGUUGAACCAGGAGCCAGUUUAUUCCCAAAUGGUGUUCCUUGGCUCUAUGCUGUGUUUGCUGUGCUUUUUGUAUUUUUUCUUUUUGCCAUGUUAUCUCCCUUUUUACUUGAGAUAGACCAGCACAUAAAGAAAUUCUUGAUCAGAUGCAGGUAUUCUCUGCAUAACACUGUGCAUAAGGACAAAAAAAACAGUGAGAUAAAGAUGGACCAUCUAGAAAGGCCAGGCUGUCCUCUGGAGUCACCAAGGAGAGGAGUUCUGGGAGGGAAGAAAAAUGGGAUGGGAAACGACCCAUUACUAUUUGUGAAAGUGA